rnacentral:lncRNA from 1 species
CUCCUUGCUGGUUCACGUUGAUUGUUCUAUUGAGUUAUAAGAAAUGAUUUUAAUUGCAUAUGGUUGCUCAUAAUAUUCUGCUCAUGCAUAGAGUCAUUUAUCAUUUCACCGAGUCUCGGGCCGGGUAAUGUUCGUGCGGAGUUUCUUGCAUAUGUCACCGAGUCCCUCACUAGAGGGCCGGGUAUGUAUAUUAUAUAUAUGAUUGGUGAUGAGGAUGGUUAUGAUGAUGAUGAUGACGGAGAUGACGUGAUGAUUAUUUUGCCGAGCCCCUUACUAGGGAAGCUGGGCACCUUAAAUGUUAAAUAUAUGCAUGAUUUUCACUUAAAAAGUAUAUGUGUAGCGAUAUUUUGUUUCGACUUGCCACAUUGGUAUCCUGUCAUCUUUACCUUAUGCUUUACAUACUCAGUACAUUGUCCGUACUGACCCCCCUUUCCUCGGGGGCUGCGUUUCAUGCCCGCAGGUGUAGACGCGCAGUUCGGUGAUCCUCCCGCCUAGGAUAUCUACUCUGCUGAUUGGGAGAGCUCCAAUGUUCCGGAGCCCAGUCGUUUUGGUACAUAACUUUUGUGUAGUCUUUUGCUCGUCUAGGGUAUGGCGGGGCCCUGUCCCGUCGAGUUUCACUAAUGUACUCUUAGAGGUCUGUGGACAUUAUGUGGGUUGUAUAUAUAUGUUUUGGAUAAUGGUCUGGACAUGGUUUGUUUGGGAUGUCCGCUUGUACAGGGGCAGCCUUGUCGGCUGCGUACAUCAUUAUGCUUUGAAUAGUGGCGGCCUUGUCGGCUCGCGUAUGCUGUUAUGGUUGAAUGGUUAUGACUCCUUAUGAGACAUGUCCUCUUAUAUAUAUAUAUGACGUUGGGGUUGGCUUGAUUUGAUUAAAUUCCAUAUUGUCUUAGUUUCAGUUGGUCAUACUUAGCAGGUUUGUAUGUGGGUGUCCAAAACGGGCACUAAUCACAGCCUAUCGGGUUGGGUCGUGACAAAGAGUGGUAUCAGAGCGGUUCUUCCUCGAAAGUGCCUACAGACCGUGUCUAGUAGAGUCUUGUUUAUCGGUGUGUUGUGCACCACAUCUAUAAACAGGAAGCUACAGGACAUUUAGGAUGUCAUUCUUUCUUCUUAUUCUAGAUCGUGCGAUAGAGCUAUAUUAACAGGAUAAUCCCUCUCUAACGAAUACAUGUGUUUUCAGCUAUGCCUCCAAAGAAAGCGGCAACCGCCCAGAAGGGAAAAUCGGUAGUAGAAGGUACUAGUCAGACCCGAAGAGUUACUAGGGCCCGUGCCCAGUCUAUGCCUAGUAUUAUGCUCCAGUCGGAGAGCUCUGCUACACCCCCACCGCCAGAAGAGCUUAGAGCAGCAGCAGCUCCAGUUCGGGGGACACCACCAGCCCCCGAGGCCCCAACAUCUGAACCUCCAGCUCCUCAGUCAGGGACGGAGGAUAGGGCCAUGAGAGAUGCGGUUCGAUUGCUGAUUAGAUUAGUGGCAGAUCAGGCUCGCAGGCAUGGACUAGGAGUUGAUCAUGCGGACAGAUCUGAUAGCUUAAGGGCUCGUGACUUCUUAAGUUGUAAUCCUCCAGAGUUCUUUGGGUCAAGGCCACAGGAUGAUCCGCAAGAGUUUAUUCGUCAGAUGCAGCGUACAUUGAGGAUAAUCAAGGCUUCGGAGACCGAGUCUGUUGAGUUGGCUACGUAUCGUUUGCGGGAUGUAGCUAUUAAUUGGUAUGAGUCUUGGGAGUUAUCUAGGGGUGAGGGUGCCCCUCCAGCGGUAUGGGAUGAAUUUGUGGAGGCUUUCCAGGGCCACUUCCUGCCUCCAGAGAUGAAGCGAGCUAGAGUCGAUAAAUUCUUGCGUUUGAAGCAAAAUGCAGGAGCGUUCGAGAGUAUAGCCUCGAGUUUGAUUCAUUGGCUAGGCAUGCGCCUACUAUUGUGGCUGAUAUGGCAGACAGGGUACAUCGUUAUGUGAUGGGAUUGGAUCGUUAUCUGAUUGACGGUUGUAUGGCAGUGACUCUUCAGCCAGGUAUGGACAUUGCUCGGGUGCAGGCAUAUGCACAGGGGGUAGAGGAUCGGCACCGAGGACGUCAGCCAGAUAGAGAUUAUAAUAGAGGCCAGCAUAAGAGGGCUAGAUCAGCAGGUUAUCCUGACGAGUUUCAAAGCGGGCAGUCUCAGCAGCAUGUUAGAUUUUCUUCCCAGCCAGCACAGAGUGCACCCCCACGUUUCAUGGGUAGGGGGUUCGAUCGUAUGGGAUAUUCGGAACCUGGUCAGAGCUCUAGGGCGUCAGGGUCACAGAUGGGCAGGGGUUUGAGCCAGUCGAGGCCACCUUUGCCUCGGUGUUCUCGUUGUGGUAAGUCCCAUCCUGGGGAAUGUCGUUGGGCUACAGGUGCGUGUUUUUCUUGCGGCCGUCAGGGCCAUACUAUGAGGGAGUGUCACCUUAGAGGUAGUGCAGGUGGUAUGGCACAGCCUAGAGGGUCCGUUACUGGUUCAUCUUCUUCUGUGGCUAUGCGCCCUACGGGGCAGGGUAUUCAGGCACCAGCAGGCCGUGGUAGAGGACGUGGUGGAGCUUCUAGUUCUAGCGGUCCCUCAAACCGUAUAUAUGCUUUGACUAAUAGGCAAGAUCAAGAGGCGUCACCUAAUGUGAUCACAGGUAUAUUAUCACUAUUCUCCCGAAGUGUGUAUGCAUUGAUAGACCCAGGUUCCACCUUAUCAUAUAUAUCUCCCUUUGUUGCUAGUAGGAUCGGAAUAGAGUCUGAGUUGAUAGAACCAUUUGAGGUAGCUACACCUGUAGGAGAUUUUGUCAUAGCUACGCGAGUAUAUAGGAAUUGUUCAGUAGCUAUAUAUAGUCGUCAUACCGUAGCAGAUCUAAUAGAGUUAAAUAUGAUUGAGUUUGAUAUUAUCAUGGGCAUGGAUUGGUUGGCUGCUUGUUAUGCUAAUGUUGAUUGCAGAGAAAAGAUAGUUCGAUUUCAAUUUCCAGGGGAACCGAUUAUAGAGUGGAAGGGAAGUACAGUAUCGCCGAAAAGUAAGUUCAUUUCAUACCUCAAGGCCGGGAAGAUGGUUAGAAAAGGCUAUAUUUACCAUCUGAUUCGGGUGUAUGACAUAAAGGCAGAGGCACCGACUCUUCAAUUAGUCCCGGUAGUUAAUGAAUUUCCUGAUGUAUUCCCCGAGGAACUUCCAGGCCUUCCUCCAGAACGGGAGAUAGAGUUUACUAUAGAUGUACUGCCAGAUACCCAGCCUAUAUCUAUACCUCCUUAUAGAAUGGCACCUGCUGAGUUGAAAGAAUUGAAAGAGCAAUUGAGGGAUUUGCUAGAAAAGGGCUUCAUCAGGCCUAGUACGUCACCUUGAGGAGCACCAGUACUGUUUGUGAGGAAGAAGGAUGGGUCGCUGCGGAUGUGCAUUGAUUAUAGGCAGUUGAACAAAGUAACAAUAAAGAACAGGUAUCCCCUCCCAAGGAUUGACGAUCUAUUUGACCAGUUGCAGGGUGCAAAGUGUUUUUCAAAGAUAGACUUGCGGUCAGGUUAUCAUCAGGUGCGGGUAAGGGAGGAAGAUAUUCCAAAGACAGCAUUCCGAACCCGAUAUGGACAUUAUGAUUUUAGAGUGCUGUCUUUUGGGCUGACUAAUGCUCCAGCGGUAUUCAUGGAUUUAAUGAAUCGAGUAUUUAAACCAUUCCUUGAUAUGUUUGUUAUUGUAUUUAUAGACGAUAUUCUGGUCUAUUCACGUUCAGAAGAGGAGCAUGCAGAUCAUUUAAGGACGGUACUUAGGGUGCUUCAGCACCAGAAGUUGUAUGCUAAAUUUUCUAAGUGCGAGUUCUGGUUGACUUCAGUGGCAUUCUUGGGGCAUAUUAUUGGAGCUGAUGGUAUUCGGGUAGAUACGCAGAAGAUUGAGGCAGUAAAGACUUGGCCCAGACCUACGACACCUACUGAGGUACGCAGCUUUUUGGGGUUAGCAGGAUAUUACAGGAGAUUCGUAGAAAAGUUUGCCUCAAUUUCAGUGCCUUUGACAAGGCUAACUCAAAAGGCAGCCAAGUUCCAGUGGACAGAUGCUUGUGAGCGAAGCUUCCAGCUAUUGAAAGACAAAUUGACUACAGCUCCAGUCCUAACUCUUCCAGAGGGACCAGACGGCUAUGUUAUUUAUUGUGAUGCUUCGGGUGUUGGGCUAGGAUGUGUAUUGAUGCAGCAUGGCAAAGUUAUAGCCUAUGCCUCCCGACAACUUAGGAAGCAUGAAAAGAACUAUCCUACUCACGAUCUGGAGUUAGCGGUCGUGGUUCAUGCCUUGAAGAUAUGGAGACAUUAUUUAUAUGGUGUCCAUGUGGACAUCUAUACAGAUCAUAAGAGUCUCCAAUAUAUCUUUAAACAGAAGGAGCUGAACUUACGACAGAGGCGGUGGUUAGAGUUGCUAAAGGAUUAUGAUGUUGAUAUUUUAUAUCAUCCAGGGAAAGCGAAUGUUGUAGCAGAUGCUCUUAGCCGUAAGUCCAUGGGUAGCUUGACAGAUGUACAACCAGAAAGGAGGGAUAUGGUUCGGGAGAUUCAGCGGCUAUCCAGCCUUGGAGUCCGUCUAGCUAAUUCGGAAGAUAGUGGAGUUUCUAUUCGAGAGGUUGCUGAGUCCUCAAUCAUAGAUGAGGUAAAGCGACACCAAUACAAGGACCCUAUUCUGGAACAGUAUAGAGAUGCAGCUCUUCAAAAGGAAAAGACCCCAUUUAAGGUUACACCUGAUGGAGUGUUACAAUAUGAAGGCAGAUUGUGUGUACCCGAUACUGCGGGGCUACGACGGCAAGUUAUGGGAGAGGCACACUCUGCCCGUUAUUCUAUUCACCCAGGGUCAACAAAAAUGUAUCAUGACCUCAGAUGCUUAUAUUGGUGGGAUGGCAUGAAAAAGGACAUAGCAGAGUUUGUUGCUCAGUGCCCAAAUUGUCAACAAGUUAAGAUCGAACAUCAAAAGCCUGGUGGAUUAUUACAGGAGAUAGAGAUCCCGACUUGGAAAUGGGAAAUGAUUAAUAUGGACUUCAUUACAGGCUUACCUCGCACUCAACGGAAGUAUGACUCUAUAUGAGUUAUUGUAGAUAGGCUGACGAAAUCGGCCCAUUUUCUUCCAGUCAGGACUACUUAUUCGGCUGAAGAUUAUGCGAGGUUAUAUGUCAGGGAGAUAGUGAGACUUCAUGGGGUUCCCACGUCCAUUAUAUCAGACAGAGGAGCUCAAUUUACAGCCAACUUUUGGAGAUCGUUUCAGAAGGGAUUGGGGACACAGGUGAACCUUAGCACAGCAUUUCACCCUCAGACUGAUGGGCAGGCUGAGCGUACUAUUCAGACACUAGAAGAUAUGUUGCGGGCCUGUAUUAUUGACUUCAAAGGAAGCUGGGAUGACCACUUGCCGCUCAUUGAGUUUGCCUAUAAUAAUAGCUACCAUUCUAGUAUCCAGAUGGCACCGUACGAGGCCUUAUAUGGGAGGAAGUGCAGAUCACCUAUUGGUGGUUUGAUGUUGGCGAGACUAAGUUAAUAGGCCCGGAUGUGAUUCAGCAAGCUGUUGACAAGGUGAAGCUUAUUCAAGAAAGAUUAUUAGCAGCCCAGAGUCGACAGAAGUCAUAUGAAGAUAAUCGGCGUCGAGAUUUGGAGUUUCAGAUUGGUGACUGGGUAUUCCUGAAGGUAUCACCCAUGAGGGGUGUGAUGAGAUUCGGCAGGAAGGGGAAGCUCAGUCCGAGAUACAUUGGGCCUUAUCAGAUUGUUCGUAGGAUAGGCAAGGUUUCCUAUGAGUUGGAUCUACCAUCUGAUUUGGAGGCGGUACAUCCAGUCUUCCAUGUAUCGAUGCUACGUAAAUGUAUUGGUGAUCCUUCUAGAGUAUUCCCUGUAGAUGAUAUUCAGGUAACAGAGGAGUUGUCAUAUGAGGAGAAACCCGUGGCUAUACUUGAUCGUCAGGUUAGAAGGUUACGUACUAAGGAUGUGGCUUCCGUCAAAGUGUUGUGGCAAAAUAACAAUAGGGAGGAGAUGACUUGGGAAGCGGAAGACGAAAUGAAAAAUAAGUAUCCUUACUUGUUCCCCGUACCUGCAGGUAAUUCAAUUCCUAGCUUGACUAUAUUGAUAGAUAAUGAGAUUAUGUAGCUGUGAGGCAUCUGUAAGUUACGGAAUGCAGGUUGAUAGGUAUAACUUUUAGAGAGACCUCGCUGGAAUUUGUUUUUGCAAGACGCUAACUUAACAUUCGAGGACGAAUGUUCCUAAGGGGGGAAGGAUGUUAUGCCUCGUAUUUUUUUAUACGUAGUGCGCAUCGUGAUCUAGAAGACGUAAAGAAAUAUUAGGCAAGGAUGUUAUUUCCAAAUGUGAUAUUAAGUAUGAGUUGGUUAAUGUAAGUGCCAUUAACUUUAAGUGAGGGAUUAAUUAGUGGCUAAUUUGGAUUGAUUUAAUCCAAUGGGCCCCACCACUCAAGGCAAAAAUUAAAAAGGGAUCAGAUUGUGGGCUGGCCUUAGUGGACAGGUGUAGAGGGGGGCUGCCUCCACUUCAUACUAUUAAAUGAGGUGGAGAAAUCCACUCCAUGCUAUAUAAAGUGGUGAAAUGCAUUGCUGCAUAUCAUCUUCUUCUUCACCACUUGUCUUAGGCAGCCAUGGAAAUGGAGAAACCAACCCUGCAACUCUUGGCCAGCAGCUGCAAAUAAUUUGGUUAGUAAUCUCCUUGUUUGGUGUGUUAAUUCUUUAGAAUACCCUUGUUAAUUAUCCAUUAAUUUUAAGAAGGGGGCGUGACCAGUAGCUUAGGAAGUUUGUUUUAGUUAUUGAAUGUGCUAAGUAUGAAUGGAAACCAUAAUCGGAUUAUUAGUGGUGUCAUGUUGGUGCUUGGGCUGUUUAUAUGAUUCUUUGGGUUAUAUGUGUUAUUGGUAUUGCUGUGGAUAAUUUGGAUUGUUGUCAGAUUGGGACGAAGUAAGGAAAAUAGGGGAGGUGCUGCCGAAUUUUCGUUAGAUUAUUAGCUAGCUUACAAGAAAGUAAAGCACGAUGUUUAUCUAAUUGCGGCACGAUUGUUGCUUGUUAUAGAUUAAUAGCUUGAGCAGUAAAUAUUGGACGUGCGGCUCAAUUAUACGGUAUGUAACGCUGUCCCUUCUUUCUUUGCUUGGCAUGACUUUUAAAAAUAAGCGAAUAACGGACAGAUUUGAUACUUACCUCUAAAGCGUCUAGGUGAUGUAUAUUCUUGCUUCCAUAAUUAUUCCUCUAUAUAUCGGUUAUGUCUAAGGCUAUGAUGAUCUCUAAUAUCUAUGGUAAUGCUUCUUAGAGUCAUUGAAAUUUUACGUUUUCAUAUCGUAUUAAAGGUUCAUAAUCUUGAUAAAACAUUAAUCUUUGGUAAUACUCCUUGCUGGUUCACGUUGAUUGUUCUAUUGAGUUAUAAGAAAUGAUUUUAAUUGCAUAUGGUUGCUCAUAAUAUUCUGCUCGUGCAUAGAGUCAUUUAUCAUUUCACCGAGUCCCGGGCCGGGUAAUGUUCGUGCGGAGUUUCUUGCAUAUGUCACCGAGUCCCUCACUAGAGGGCCGGGUAUGUAUAUUAUAUAUAUGAUUGGUGAUGAGGAUGGUUAUGAUGAUGAUGAUGACGGAGAUGACGUGAUGAUUAUUU